GAAGGCAGUUGAAGUCAUCGCUGCCGGUCUCGAGCCGGCAGAGGAACUUCCCGACUCUCACCCGCGAUGUCUGCACCGCAGCAUCGCCGGGACGUUGCCCCACGAAACCGUAAGUGGGGGCGCAUCGCCGGUAACGGUUAUGUGACUACAACCGCAACAGAAAGCAGACCCGCCGCCCCGCUGCCGCAGAGCAACCGGGCCGGUAAGGGGUGAAACGGUGGGGUAAGAGCCCACCAGCGGUCCCGGAGACGGGACCGGCUGGGCGAGCGUGCAACCGAGAGCAAGGCGAGUGGGUUUUGCAUUGUCUGCGAAGAUGGUGUAGAAUCUCGUCGCAGCGGUGCGGACAAUGUCGGGUAACGCCCGGCAAGUCACAAGCCGCCGGGCGCAAGCCCGAGACAGAUGAUGACCUUCGGGACGCCUUCGGGCGGCUCCGAAGACAGAAUCGGGGGUACACUGCCUUCCUAC
rnacentral:RNase_P_RNA from 1 species